rnacentral:lncRNA from 1 species
CAAGCUAAUAAAUGACACGCAUCCUGAAACUACAAAUGUGGAUCAGGUCACACAAAAUUUGCAAAGGCCCAAUAUAGACAAGUUUAUUUUUAGACCUGUACCUGUUAGUGUCAUUAAAAAACAUCUUAAUAAUCUAAAAAUGAAAAACCAGUCCGGACCUGAUCAAAUCCCAGCAAUGCUGUUGAAGCUCAGUGCGCCGGCAAUUGCUAAACCCGUCUCAACUCUAAUUAAUGAAUCCUUGGUGUCUGG